rnacentral:rRNA from 1 species
GUCUACGGCCAUACCACCCUGAACGCGCCCGAUCUCGUCUGAUCUCGGAAGCUAAACAGGGUCGGGCCUGGUUAGUACUUGGAUGGGAGAAAGUGAAAUAACAAAGGGAAUAUUCU